AUUAAAAAGUGCAAUACAGUUCGAGGCGUCUUUGUCCUGGAAGAAUUUGGUAAUUACACUAUUUUGCUCUUAGGUCUGGACUCACAUGGCAGUAACUCAAACCUUGGAGCUCCAGAGGAGGGAGUAGGGCAGGGGGACAAAAGCCCUGCAGAGAGGUCAGGAGUUGACAGGGAAGGAAAGGAUCCCCGAGAAGACAACAGAAAGGAGAAAGACAGGAUAACCAGUGGUCCCCGGAGAGCAGGAAGCCUUGGACAGGUUAGAGUCUAGGGUGGUAAUAAUGUAGUCCCUCUUUCCUGUUUGGCCAGCCAGUGGUCAGAAAGUUCUGGGGCAGAGCAG
rnacentral:lncRNA from 1 species